AAGUAAAUCUGAACAAAAUUGAAAUGGAAGCUGAACAUGUUGAUAACAUCUUUAGGGAAAGCUAUAUCACUGCAGCAGUCUACAUACCAAUAUUAAAUGCUGAAAUGGUGAAGCGAAGGAUUUUUCCACGAAUAGGAUCAUCUCCAGUUGAGAAGGGCAUCACUCCAAUUACCUCUGUAUGUGAUCAUAACCUAUCACUUAAACUUUUAGAAAUACUUAACCUGGCGCACAUUAAAAAAGUUAAACCAUUCCAAGAAUCAUAUAAAGAAGAUAUUGCUAAAGCAAAGGAAUCUUUUCGGACCCUGGCAGGUGGCAUUGAUACCGAAAUAAAGGAAAAUAAUUUUCAAGAGGAUAAACACACCAUUCAAAGACAGCCCAAGUAUACUCAUGCAUUGCAGCUCUGUAACUUACUAGCAGCCAGAAAUGACAGUCCUAAUACUGGAGUGGGGACACUGAUCUACAGGAAAGAAGACAUUGUCGCUGUUGGCUACAAUGGAUUUCCAAAAGGGACAGUGAAUAGUCUGUUUGCACAGAAGGAUGAUGGUAGUUGUGACCAGCAUGCAAUCAUAUGUGCAGAAGCUAAUGCAAUUAUUCUGAGAACUGAGGAUGAUCUGAGUGACACUGAAUUAAUCACCACAUGUGAGCCCUGUAGUGACUGUGAAAACCUAAUUAAAGCAAUGAAGAUAAAGAAAAUCAUUUGGCCUAAUCGAGAUGUAAAAAAGCAACCAGAAGGUGCAACUAACAAUCCAACAGAAGAAGAAAAUAAUCCAAGCACUGAACCGUUUCAAGUAAAAAGCAGCAUCAAAAAACAUUGUGAUGAAAAGAUUUUAGCACUCCAAGCUGAUCGAGAGAAAUGUAAUAGAAAGGAUACUAAAGGAACUUCAGUCUCAGGAGGAAAGGAAGGAAAGACAAUGGAAAUACAGUCACCAGCAGAUGAGGGACAUGCUCCUGGUGAGCAGGCCAUUUUAAAUUCAUCAGAAGCAUCUGCAUCCCACAGAGAUGGCAUAGUGAAAGAAGACAGUGAAAAAACAAAUCCUUUAUUGACUGAGACUGAAUCAGAGCUAGAAACUGAAUCCUCGGACAAGCCAAAAGGUACCUAGCAUAGACCAAUGAACUAAUAUUUCUGUUUUAUCUGAGGGGUUCAAAUUGGGAAUCCUCUACUUUCUCAAUUGACAAGCAGGAAAAUCUGAAUUGUAGUUUGACACAUAUUCCCCUUCUAUCACAUAGGAAAUGUCUUAAGAAGAACCCCUGCUAACUCUUGGCUUCUUAAAUACUUAGUCUCACCAACUGAAGGAAUUCAUUACACAGAUUCAGAUGAGUCAGUGAUGUAACCUUGUGUCAUUUUAACUCAUGAUUUUGGAAGUAGCUAGAGCCAGAGUAGCAUUUAUUAUUAUUUUUAUUUAUUUAUUUAUUUGUAUUACUCUACUGUCUAGAAGUCCCAGUUAUGGACCAAAACCCCAUUGUACUAGACAUUGUACGAACACAGAACAGAAAGGCAGUUCCUUGAAGCAUGACCAACCAUGAGGAGGUCUGAAAGUGACUAAUUGACCCACAAUAGUUGGGCCAUUGCAUUUAAUAAGCAGGAAACCAGUGCCACAGUGACAUGAUUGUGUAGGUUGUGCAGGACAGUCUGUAAAAACAGGGCCUUGUGGAAUUGAGAAGUGCACUGUGUAGAACUACAAUAACAAACUGAAGCACAUUAAUAUGGAAGUGGAAAGAGUACCUGUGAUGAUUUUAGAAUAACAGUUGUAAGGCACUAAAAUGACACUGGGGUGCAGAUUAGUGAGUGAUAUCCUCAGUUGACCCAUAUCUGUUUAAUUCAAUGACUAGCAAAGUAUCAGCCAGGAAUCAUCUUACCAAUUAAUUAUUUUUAAUAUGUCUUAUAUUUUUGCAAUAAUUUCAGAGUCACAUAAUGCAGAGGGGCCAUCUGUGAAUGCUGCAGAAGAUGAACCAGUAUAAACAUCAGAACAAUCAGAAGAGUUUUAGGGACAUGGCAACCCCCCAAAAUAUCUCAGAUAGUUCAGUAUCAGGUUAUUAAUCUUGAGAUGCCAGGCACUAUAUGAUGUUAUAAACUUAAAAUAAUAAUGCAUUUUAAUUGUAUAGGUAUCUCUUUCCAUAAGUUUCUAGGCAUCUUAGCAAAAAUAACUGAAAACAUAAUAUAUGACAGUUCCACAGAAACGGCUCCAUAAUCUGGUUGGGCAUUUCCCAGGCUGUUGUAUUUGGGAUCCAGUGAGAUGGGCCCUGUGUGCUCUUUAAGUCUCCUGAACAGAGUCCAGACCUUACCCCUGUGACAGUGAAAGCCAACAGACAUACAGAGAAACUUUGCACAGCAUUCUAAGGGUACGUCCACACUACCCGCCGGAUCGGUGGGUAGCGAUCGAUCUAUUGUGGAUCGAUUUAUUGCGUCUCGUCUAGACGCGAUAAAUCGAUCCCCGAACGCGUUCCAUGUCGACUCCGGAACUCCAUCAGGGUGAGAGGCAGAAGCGGAGUCGACGGGGGAGCCGCGGCCAUCGAUCCCGCGCCGUGAGGGCGGGAGGGAAGUCGAUCUAAGAUACGUCGACUUCAGCUACGUUAUUGUCGUAGCUGAAGUUGUGUAUCUUAGAUCAGUUCCCCCCCCCACCCCCAGUGUAGACCAGGCCUAAAACACAAUUACACUUUACUUAGCAACACAAGAGAUACACAGACAACAUAAUAAACACACCUCCAUUUCCUAACCA
rnacentral:lncRNA from 1 species